rnacentral:rRNA from 1 species
UACGGAGGGUGCGAACGUUAAUCGGAAUUACUGGGCGUAAAGCGCGCGUAGGUGGUUUGUUAAGUGGGAUGUGAAAGCCCCGGGCUUAACCUGGGAACUGCAUUCCAAACUGGCAAACUAGAGUAUGGUAGAGGGUGGUAGAAUUUCCUGUGUAGCGGUGAAAUGCGUAGAUAUAGGAAGGAAUACCGAUGGCGAAGGCAGCCACCUGGACCAAUACUGACACUGAGGUGCGAAAGCGUAGGGAGCAAACAGG